CUGGAUUGGCCAUGCAAAUGACAUGUCCAAUUGCGCGUCACCCUUUCCUACUUUGUCCGGCCAUUUUUGACGGAUUCGGGAGUGUUUUUUUUCUAAAUCGUAUUUAAGAGCGAAAAACUGCGAUUGCAUAUGGAAAUAUUGUUGGUAUUGGAUCUUCUGCGGUUCGACCUAUUGGGCUUCAUGAUGCGCAGAAUUGAUCGUUGAAGCUUGGCAUCCUUUGGACUUCGAUGGCUGUAGAUUUCUGGAUGCCUACAACGCAAACACACGAGACAACGGAUGUUCUUGAAUUUUUCAAGUGCCCAAGCAUACAUUUUACUGCGCCUUCUAACUGAAAAUUAGCCAAAAAUUUGAACAACCGAGCAAAGUUUAGUAAAGUAAUUUCCAUUGCAAAAACACCAACUGAUUGAUGAAACCCUAUUAUAGAUCUUAAUGGUUCGAAUCGAUCUUAAUAAAACUAUGGCAUUUCC